GUGCAGGAUAGUCUAGUCGGUGGUUGUAGGGUGUUUGACUUCCAGCCGAAAGGUUCUGGGUUCAAACCCCAAUGUCCACA